rnacentral:ncRNA from 4 species
UACGUAGGGCGCAAGCGUUGUCCGGAAUUAUUGGGCGUAAAGAGCUUGUAGGUGGCUUGUCGCGUCUGCCGUGAAAACCCGAGGCUCAACCUCGGGCGUGCGGUGGGUACGGGCAGGCUAGAGUGUGGUAGGGGAGACUGGAACUCCUGGUGUAGCGGUGAAAUGCGCAGAUAUCAGGAAGAACACCGAUGGCGAAGGCAGGUCUCUGGGCCAUUACUGACACUGAGAAGCGAAAGCAUGGGUAGCGAACAGG